rnacentral:rRNA from 1 species
UUUUAUGAGAGUUUGAUCCUGGCUCAGGACGAACGCUGGCGGCGUGCCUAAUACAUGCAAGUCGAACGCUUCUUUUUCCACCGGAGCUUGCUCCACCGGAAAAAGAAGAGUGGCGAACGGGUGAGUAACACGUGGGUAACCUGCCCAUCAGAAGGGGAUAACACUUGGAAACAGGUGCUAAUACCGUAUAACAAUCAAAACCGCAUGGUUUUGAUUUGAAAGGCGCUUUCGGGU